GUGAUAUUUGCCUCGAACAAUCGUACAACAAAUGCGUUGGCGCUACAGUCGUAUCAAAACUCUGCCACUUUCCUCCUCUUCUCUUGAGAACAGAAUUCUGAGAGAGAAUCCUAACAGUAUAAACGCUUAACUCGAUCAGCUCUCCUGAUAAUAUGAAUUGGAUAAUGGGAGUGGAAAUAUUAUUUUCAAAAUUCAUUUCUGAAUAAUGGAAAACCAUUAUUUUUGAAAUUUCUAUGAGCUCGAUUUGAUUAAGGAAAAUGGCUUUACAAGGAUGAUGGAAGACGAAAGAUGGACAAAAAAAGAUAAUGAGAGGAGGGUUGAUCACUAGUAGUUUUUCAGCGCAGAGAUGGACACGAGCAAAGAGAAAAUACGCUUUAAUCUGCAAUUGGUUUUCGAUAUAGCGGAAAGGGUAAUUUAGAUGUUAAAGAUGCUGCAAGGUGAGGAAGGCUACUAAUCGAAAAGGUAAUUACCGAGUCGGGCAGUCGUGUUAGCAUUGCUUCGAUUGUCCAGGAGCCAAAUCUUGCAUAAAAAACAGUUUGACAUGAGUCAACGAGAGAAAACCUCUUGGCCCGAAUUUCCACCUAUCAAUCGCAGCUAAAACGUAACAAAAUCGAGCCAUUACCAUUGCGGAUGAUGACUGGUGAUGAAAAGUGGAUCACUUAAAGCAACGUUAAACGAAAACGAUCGUAGUCGAAGGACAACGUGGCGACCUAAACGGUAUUCAAGGAUUGACGCCCAUGAAGGUAGUAUUGUAAGUUUGUUGGGGUUGACAAUAAGGGUUUCGUGGGAGGCAUAAUGACGUUAUAUUCAAAAUGGCAAGAAAUUAAAAUCAAAACGGUGCACACUUGACUAAAACGAAUAACUCUAACUAAUAACAAAAAAAGGCUUCAUUUCAAUGCAAAAACUAUUGAUUACUUCUUACUGAACUUAACAUAUCCAGCACUCUAACUGGGGGUAUCCCUUCCGAGGCGUUGUUGCACUUUUCGUUGGAGCUAUAAAGUUUUUACACAUUUAUAUAGCAAGCCGCUUGCUUCAAGAACGACGUCCGCUCGCAACUGCACCUCUGGUGAACAGACGCUGCAACCGAAUAAGUCGGAGUGGCUCCACUGAUGCUUCCUCUCUCAUUAACCGUGACUCAAAACUCCACCCAGGUUGGGUACUGCAUCUUGCGCAGGGUGCGCGACGUGGACGCAAGAAUAGGAAUUCAGUAUAGCCUCGCUAAUGUAAUAGGAUACCCAGAAGCUUGACUACACCCAAAUCACCAAAUUUACUUCACCUACGUUUCAUUAAAAAACUAUGCCUCCCAGAAGCUUCCCUGUAUAUAUACCGAGCAAUCCUUUACAGCUUUAAGUCAGAGAAAAUAUCCGCUUUCAAUUAAUCGAUGUUGUUGGCAUACAAAACCCUUCUCAUGUGAAACCGCAGCAAAGGCAUGCCACAUCGCAUAACCUGGAACAGCGAUCAUAUGACAAGCAUGAGAAUGCCGCAGAGAACCAUUAAGGCAAGCCAUAGCGUACAAACAGUAGCGCACAUGACCAUGCAACAACUGAAUAAGAAUAUUAAAAAUUUAAAUACAACAAAUAUAUUUAUGUACGUAGAAUAUGUAAUUUUGUUUUCAAAUUACAAAUACACAAAUUAAUGACAAACAAGAAUAGCCAACUCGUCUGCAAAUGAGGCAAGCCAAGCCAACCCAAGCGCAAUAAGCGCAGCAUUUGAACCAACGAAAUACAAAUAUGUAGCGAGAAAAGCCUUAAACUGUGUCUGUGUGUGUGUGUC
rnacentral:lncRNA from 1 species